rnacentral:rRNA from 1 species
AGAGUUUGAUCCUGGNCUCAGAGUGAACGCUGGCGGCAGGCCUAAUACAUGCAAGUCGAACGGCAGCACAGAGGAGCUUGCUCCUUGNGGUGGCGAGUGGCGGACGGGUGAGGAAUACAUCGGAAUCUGCCUAUUUGUGGGGGAUAACGUAGGGAAACUUACGCUAAUACCGCAUACGACCUACGGGUGAAAGCGGAGGACCUUCGGGCUUCGCGCAGAUAGAUGAGCAUGCGUCCCAUUAGCUAGUUGGUAAGGUAACGGCUUACCAAGGCUACGAUGGGUAGGGGUCCUGAGAGGGAGAUCCCCCACACUGGUACUGAGACACGGACCAGACUCCUACGGGAGGCAGCAGUGAGGAAUAUUGGACAAUGGGCGCAAGCCUGAUCCAGCCAUGCCGCGUGCAGGAUGACGGUCCUAUGGAUUGUAAACUGCUUUUGCACAGGAAGAAACAACAUUACGUGUAAUGUCUUGACGGUACUGUGAGAAUAAGGAUCGGCUAACUCCGUGCCAGCAGCCGCGGUAAUACGGAGGAUCCAAGCGUUAUCCGGAAUCAUUGGGUUUAAAGGGUCCGUAGGCGGUUUAGUAAGUCAGUGGUGAAAGCCCAUCGCUCAACGGUGGAACGGCCAUUGAUACUGCUAGACUUGAAUUAUUAGGAAGUAACUANAAUAUGUANUGUANCGGUNAAAUGCUUAAANAUUACAUGGAAUACCAAUUGCGAAGGCNGGUUA